rnacentral:rRNA from 1 species
GGCAAGCGUUGUCCGGAUUUACUGGGCGUAAAGGAUGCGUAGGCGGAUAUUUAAGUCAGAUGUGAAAACCCCGAGCUUAACUUGGGGACUGCAUUUGAAACUGGAUAUCUAGAGUGUGGGAGAGGAGAAUGGAAUUCCUAGUGUAGCGGUGAAAUGCGUAGAGAUUAGGAAGAACACCAGUGGCGAAGGCGAUUCUCUGGACCAUAACUGACGCUGAGGCAUGAAAGCGUGGGUAGCAAACAGGAUUAGAUACCCUGGUAGUCCACGCCGUAAACGAUGAGUACUAGGUGUAGGGGGGUCCAACCCUCUGUGCCGCAGUUAACACAAUAAGUACUCCGCCUGGGAAGUACGAUCGCAAGAUUAAAACUCAAAGGAAUUGACGGGGGCCCGCACAAGCAGCGGAGCAUGUGGUUUAAUUCGAAGCAACGCGAAGAACCUUACCUGGACUUGACAUCCCCUGAAUUACCGGUAAUGCGGGAAGCCCUUCGGGGCAGGGA